UGGAAAUCGCAGAUACGUUUUCACUUGGCAGUGGGGUUUCUGUCCUGGAAAGUUCAUUUUCUGUGACAUUGCCAUUGGAUGCUGUUUCAGUCCCUGGAGGAAUGGAAAGGAGAACAGUAUUUUUUCUGAAGGCUCACAGUGGUGCAGUCACCCAGUGUGAGAAUCCCCGUCCUUUGCCACCCCCACGCCACGUCUGAUGAUGUAAGGUCAUACCAUUGGGGAUGCGAUAACUCGCCGAACCAGUCAGUCCUUCCUUUCCUGCUGCGGCUGACGUCACUUCGGACCCUGCGCAAACAGAGAGGGCCUGGCACACCGAGCGGGUGCGUGCGCAAACCUCGGCGGGUUUUGGUCAACCGAUUUGGGCAGUGGACCUCUUCAUUCUGCUGGAAACCCCUCCUCAGUUCACUAACCGCAACCGUUGUUGCACAGUGCCACCUAGUGCAACCGUCCAGAGAGAAAUCCAAGCCUGGGCUCACAGCCACGCCACGAUAGCGGCCGGGUCUGGCUGCUGCUGCUAACGCUCAUGAUGUUCUGCAUCCAACCAGAGAGGCUUUGGCUGCUUUCAUGGCUCUAAAAGCGAGGGCUCCCUGCACAAGCAAGAAAUGCUCUGGUUUGUGUUACACGCUCGUGUGUAAUGUGGAGCGUAACGCUGUUCUCGGUAAGCAUUUCUGUCCUGGAUUGGUAAAUUUGUGGAACUAAGGCCAAACUUGCAAGGAGAUGUGACAUUGGGUUGGCGUUGACGGUGAGCUGGUAGCUACUGGAUCCUCUGGUACUGCAGAAGGGCUAGUUGGUUGUUUGGAUACUAAAGGAACCCCCCCCCAAACCCAAGACAGAGAUCAGAAGAGACAUUUUGAUCCGAUUGAACUGAUCCAUGAAAAAUGAAACCCGCCCUGGUGUGCUCUGUGCUCUUUGGGUCCUCUGUCUGAUCGGUGGCUAGACUUACAGUCCUAC